GUAACACCCAGUCAUUUCUUUUACAAGCCUGUAAUUUACCUGAGCUACAGCAUGUGCUUUAGCAAAACAGCAGGAAGAAUAGAGAGAGUUUCAUUAGAUCUGAAACAGCAGUAAGUCCUCACGGACAGAACAGUAUGAGACUAUGAAGCCUAGUGGAUGCAGUGCUACCAAGACGAGUGCAAUGGGAGAGCUCAGCUUGUUGGGGUCUGCUGUAACCAAUUUAAAGGACUUCCAUCCCACCUGAACCAAAGAUCUCAUGGCACCCUACCAUCCACAGGGCUGCCAGAAGACUAGAGUGCUCUGAGUCUUGCAUUCAGUCAAAUUCAAGGAAGAGACUGCAUAAAACAGACCACAAAAGCCACUUUCCUUACUAACACCAAAAUUCUGUAUUUUUAAAUAUCACAACCAAUCCCACUCCUUCCAGCUGUCUCCUUUUGUCACUCUUCUCUUUCACCACACCACCACUGCUUUUCUCUUCCUGCCCUUCUGUACUCCUCACCCCACUGCAGUGUGUACAAGGUUAGCAGAACGCGUAUGAUUGUUUGUUGAAGAAGUCUGAGAGCAGUAGAAGGAAAAGACAUAAUAAUUACAGGAAAAGUAUACAGAUAGGAUGUGAUGGCUGUUGAUACUGGAACCACAUAGGUAGCAGAGAGUGGAAGCAUUGGUGUGGUGGCAGAAAACCUUGGGAAAAGGAGAGGCAAUACGCGAAGCUUUGGCAGCUGUGAAAAGAAGUGAAGGCUGGAAUGGGACUUUGGUAAAAGAGGUGGCCUCCAUUCAUCUCUUUAUGCUCUAUUUUAGGAAGUAUGAGAAUGACCGGUAUGAGCUUUUGCAAAAAACAUUCAGCUCUUCCACCUGAUCUUUGACAGAUGCUUAGAGACACAGAGAAUAGGUACAGAGAUGUUUCUGCUGGCAAAGUCUCCUGGUCUUGGAUAAGCAGCAAUUUAGGUUUUCCUAGAUGUAGAGGUUGCAACAUAAGUUAUCGUGUUUCAUGAACAUGUGUUUCCUUGCUGCUGCUGAAGCACAAAAUGAAACCAGCUGAGCAGCACCUUGAAAAUGGUGAUCUUCCCACAUAAUACUUACCCUAAAGGGCUCCCUUUUGCCGUGUACUUAAGGAAGAUAAUCUGUUAUGGAGAAAGGAUUGUGAGAUCAAUUUUUCUAUUCCUCCGUGAUUUAAUAUCGUUUCUGCAGGUGUGUUUCUUCCAAAGGUUUGGCAAGCCUACUUCAAAUAAACUUUCUCUCCUUCCCUAUAGAGCUGAUAACCACCUAGUAGACUACUCUGCAGUCAGUACUUAUUGAGGUAUGAGUUAUUAGGAGAAAUUUGGUCGCAUUCUGAGUUUGGGAGAACCAGACCAUUCUCACUGUAGCUCAUAAAUACAAAUAUGAACUGUCUGGUGGAAAAUGUGCAGUGGUGGAAUAGGGAUGGAAGUACUUGUGAAAGUCAAAAGCCAUGAAAAGAAGAAAAAAGAGGAGCUCUACCUUACAGUUUCUAGCAGGAGAUUGUUGUUGUAAGAGACAGAUUUCCAACUAGGGCAGCCUAUCCAUGCGCUCCUGGUGCAGAGCUAGCCUUUCAGAACUAGUUCAGCAGUUGAGGAGGUAACUCCUAAGCUAAUGCCUUGCUCUUACAUUGGCUUUUGCUGCAAGAGCCUUAAAAUGAAUUUUCUUUUUGUUUUGUUUUAUGCCCGAGAGACCUAUUUUGGGAAAGAGGCAAUCCUCCACGUAAUAGAUCUGAAGAAAGCUUGUAAUCAACUGCCAUUUGAUGGCAGGGUAAACUUUCACUACCCUGCACGGUGGCAUGGUCCCAAGGCGUUGGAUUAGUGAUGUUAUUCUGCAUGUGGGACUCUGCAUAAGGAGACACUAAUAUAUUUCUGCUGGGCUGGCAAAAGUUCGUAACAAAUCUGCAGUGCUCCUUCAAAGAUCACCAUAAACAAUUCAGUGCUCUCAUUAGUGUCUACACCCUGCAAAUGUUUAAACCACAAGAAACCACAAACCACAAGAAACCUGCGAACUGAAUAAACAGCUGCUGCUCUCAACUCAAAAUCAAUUAUAUAAGAUUCUGCUAAUAGGCAUUUGCUUUCCAAAAGCAGAUUUCAUAUUAUCAGUAUCUAUGUCACACUUAGACUAUAGCUAAGCUUUUAGGAGUUUAAAUGAAUUCACAAUAAUAUAGUUAAGGAAAUUAUCACUUCAAAAAAGAAGUUCUAAAAUGUCAAAAGAUAAAAGUGAUACAGGAUGUGGAUGUACUAACAUCUCAGGUAAAUGGGACUCAUUAGCUACAAUAUUUCAUACAUUACAAUCUAAGGUAUGCAUAUAAGAAAAGAUUCCCUUGGGUUUUUGUGGAUCACGAGCUCUCUAGGUCUUCUCCCAUAUUGUUGCCUGAAUUGUCUUAACACAGCAAUUCAGUAUGGAAAUCUGGCUGCCCUCACACUAAAGAAAGCACUACCAUUAUAUCCUAGGCUUGAAUUUGCUUUUGUUUCUGUAUCCAGGGCACUCAGAGAGGAACAUCCACUCUGGCUUGCACUAAGGGCAGAUCCAGCCCCCUGGAGAGCAGGCAGGGGAGAAUGCUGAGGUGUCUCUGAAGGGUCUGAAGAUCCUUGGUGGAUCUUUUUGCCUUUAUCUCAGGGCUUCCCAAAUCCAUUACACACUUCCCGUAGACACAGUAAGGAAGAGCAGACCUCAUGGGAAGAAUGCGGUAGUGCUGGUGCAAAUGCUGGGCUUCAGUCCUCGUUUCUGAGGGGAAGGUCCAGGGUGCUAUUCAAGCAGAUAGGCAUUGUCUUCUGGCCAGUGAGUCAUUCUUCAUGACAGCUUAGAUGCUAAUCACACCUACCUUUGUAACUAACGUGAGCCUCAGAUUUUUAGGGCUGACACAAACCUGCAGGAUGUUGUUUGCGCCAUACAGGUAACUACUGCCUUUCUGCAGCCUGUUGGAAAGCAGUCACAGGCAGUGUUUCAGCAUUUAUGAGAGAGUAACAGUGUGUCCAGACCUCGCUAAUUAACUGUAUGGACAAUGCCAUACCACUGCUCAGGGCCCCUCACUUGGUCUGUUGGUUCUUGAAGCAGAACAUAGCUGUUGUGUUUGAAUUUCACAGAAGAGGCCAUAGUCCUCAGAAUAAUACUGCUAGUCAAAGCUGUGUGUGUGACUAAAGGAAAGAGUGGGUCAAACGGAAGAGAGAGGUCACAGUAGAGCUCAUUGUUUUUCUUAGCAAAACCCACAUGGUUCUGCAGAAAAGGGGUUCUGCAGCAGGGAAUGUGGCAGAGAGAGAACUUGUCACAGGCCAAAUCAGAUGAGAAGGAAAAGAAAUUCCUUGUGUAGGACUCAACAGAUGUGGAGAGAUCAGCUAACACAAGGGCAGAUGAGACAGAGGGGGAUCCUGCAGAAUGGAAAAACUCUGCAUCAUGCUAAGAUUUUCAUCAAUAGUGUCCACAGUAUGAGAAGGACGGAGCCAAAGCCAGGAAGCAGGCUUAGCACGGAGCUGGGGCAGUGACUAACUGGGCUUGCAGGCCUUGGUAGACUGCAAGGAUGUGGAAGGCUGGGGUGAUGGGAACCAGGAGAACUGGGGUCACUGGUAAAGUUAUGAGGAGGGGAACGGGAGCCAAGGCCAUAAGAGAACUAAGAGGAGCUUAGAGCUCCCCUCAGUGGGAGGGAACUGUGGGUGGAAUGAGCAGAAGGCCAGCUGUUGCACUGCCCUUUAUUUGGAAUGACCUCACAGCUGCCACUGGGAGUGAAUUCCUUCUUCUUCCUUAGCAACAGUGGGUCCUCACUCUCUUGUGGGAAAGUGCUCUCCUGUCAGUUCAUUCUCUUGAGAAGAAGAGCACUUGCUGGGUCACCUUAUCAGCAACCUGUAUCUCCAUGUCCCCUUUCAAGAUACUCACUAACAGAAGGCAUGGCCCUUUUUCAGCAAUUGCUCUGACUUUGUCCCACCAGGUGAGCACACUGAACCAUCUAGAGACAUGAGAAGACCUAGUGCCAUCAGGCCCCAGUCUCAGGGCAAGACCAGUCUCCCUACCCAGCAGAAGAGGUCACACUGCGAAGUCAGAGAAGUCAGAGACCUCAGACUUUCAGGCUUACCUUUCUCCUCAGCUCUAGCAACCGCUGCCCUUGUCAGCAGUAGUCAGUUUGACUACAGCCACUCUCAAGCAUCAGGAAGCUGAUGGUCACCUGUUAUCCACAGCAGCAAGCAGUCCUUCCUUCCUCUCCAUCCCCACCUGCCUCUCCAGCACGAGACCCUCAGCUUCCAAAGCCUUUUUGCCUGGGCACCAGGAAGAAUAAAACCAAUAUCCAAGACUCCUCUGCAAAAGCAGACCCCAAAUUAUGUUUCACUGCCAAAUUAAAAGCAAGUGUUCUCUGGAGGCUUUGCUUCUGUUUGU